rnacentral:rRNA from 1 species
UACGAAGGGGGCUAGCGUUGUUCGGAAUUACUGGGCGUAAAGGGCGCGUAGGCUGUGCUGUAAGUCAGGCGUGAAAUCCCUCGGCUUAACCGGGGAACUGCGUCUGAUACUGGAUGGCUUGAGUUUGGGAGAGGGAAGCGGAAUUCCGGGUGUAGCGGUGAAAUGCGUAGAUAUCCGGAGGAACACCGGUGGCGAAGGCGGCUUCCUGGACCGACACUGACGCUGAGGCGCGAAAGCUAGGGGAGCAAACGGG